rnacentral:rRNA from 1 species
AAACUCGGGGGACUGCUGACUAUAAACUUUUCUCAAACCAGAGGAAGGUUGCGGCAAUAACAGGUCUGUGAUGCCCUCAGAUGUUCCGGGCUGCACACGUGCUACAUUUAGUAGCGCAGUGUGCACAUUAAUAGAGUGAUAGGUUCCGUGGUUUGUACAUUUUAAGGGCUCGUCCUAGUAACCAAAGCUCCACGGGACAUAUCAACCUUCCCCUUACAGGGCGGGUAACCUCUUCGAAGUGCUGGCAUGAUUUCCCUAGUUUUGGCAUUUGAAUCCUUGUCGCAGCAGCCCUGAGACGUAGUGAACGCUGCAAAGUGAUUCCAGUCUUAGGUUUGCGACACAUGCAAUUCCUGGUUGACUCAUCGUGGGGACUGAUUCUUGUAAUUAUUUUUCACGGUUCAACCAGGAAUGCCUUGUACCGGCGG